UGGUAUGCGGUAACGACAGGUUGCUGCGCAUGCGUCUGGCGAGAACGCCAGAAAGCCGCUAGGGCUGCGUGCGUGGUGCGGUACGUAGUCAAAGGUAACGCGAUCGGUAAAGUGGGCGGGUUGUCGCCCGCGCCCUGUCAGUAGCGGGAGAUAGGUAAUGAACUUGUUGGCUCCCAGCGGCCUUUUUCUCUCCGGCUGUCGCCGCCAUCAUGUCCGUCACCGCCACUAUAGAGCAAGAGUUCCAGGAGAUCGAUGCCGCUAACGGCUGGCAGCCCCGGUACCUGGAUAUUCGGCACCAGUCCAGUGAUUAUCCGCAUAAAGUUGCAAAGUAUGCAGAAAACCGAAAUCGUAACAGAUAUAGAGAUGUUAGUCCAUAUGAUCACAGUCGUGUAAUACUGCAGAACACAGACAACGAUUACAUCAAUGCAAGCUUGGUGGUUAAUGAAGAAGCUCAGAGAAAUUAUAUAUUAACACAGGGUCCACUUCCUAAUACAUGCUGCCAUUUCUGGCUAAUGGUAUGGCAACAAAAGACCAAAGCAGUUGUCAUGCUAAACAGAAUUGUUGAGAAAGAGUCGGUUAAAUGUGCACAAUACUGGCCGACAAAAGAGGAGGAACAAAUGAUGUUCAAAGAAACAGGAUUUUGUGUGAGAUUAAAAUCUGAAGGUGUUAAAUCUUACUAUACAGUACGGCAACUUCAGCUAGAAAACAUCAACACUGGUGAGACCAGGAUGAUAUUCCAUUUUCAUUAUACUACAUGGCCAGACUUUGGAGUUCCUGAAUCCCCAGCUUCAUUCCUCAACUUUUUGUUUAAAGUCAGAGAAUCUGGAUCGUUGAAUCCUGAACAUGGACCUGCAGUCAUUCACUGCAGUGCUGGAAUUGGGCGCUCUGGUACAUUUUCAUUGGUAGACACAUGCCUUGUCUUGAUGGAAAAAAGAGAAGACCCACUUUCUGUAGACAUUAAGCAGGUUUUAUUGAAUAUGAGAAAAUAUCGAAUGGGACUUAUUCAGACUCCUGAUCAGCUACGAUUUUCAUACCUGGCUGUAAUAGAAGGAGCAAAAUAUAUAAUGGGUGAUUCUACUAUACAGAAUCAGUGGAAGGAACUCUCAAAAGAGGACCAGGCACCAAGUUCUGAUCGCUCUCCUCCAUGCCCAACCAAGCUAACUACAGAGAGGUAUAAUGGGACUAAUGUGGGAUUAGAAAAUCAGGAGCAAGCUGAGAACAUUAUAAAUACUGAUUUCUCUUCUUCAGUACAAAAUACUGCAGAUGCAAGUACUGACAUGGCUGUUCGAAAACGGCUGAGAGAGGGCAGGAAAGCUAACACAGCACAGAUGGUGCAGCAGAUGAAGCAUAGGCUGAGUGAGGCUGAACAAAAAAGGAAAAGGUGGUUAUAUUGGAAACCUAUUCUCACUAAGAUUGGGUUUGGUUCAGCCGUUUUCAUUGGAGUUUAUUCUUGCUGGAAAUUGUACUUCCAAAGUGCUCUCAUAUAACUGUAUUUUUAAAAGCUACAUUUGUACAAACUUCUCUGACAGAAAGAGUAUGCAUUAGUUAUCGGUCAUCCAUCCCCAACAUUUCAAGAGUGAUUUGGAAAUAUACUGACAUCACCAUACCAACUUAGUGAUUAAGUGAAUACUUUGAGAUAUUUGAUGUUAAGCAAAUAGGGGCUGCUUCUCAAUUUCUACUCUGCCAAGAGUGACCGACACCUAGAUCACCAAGACUUGUGAAUAUUCUGCAGCUAUAAAUUACAUAAUAUUGGCAUGCAAAGCAGGACAUGACCCUUCUUCAGGAAAAAAACUGAGGUCUGAGCAAUACACAAGUGGCCUCAUAAAUAUCUGUUUACAACGUAAACAACAACCAGGGAAUGAAGUACAUCACCAGCAAGAGACUCUUCAAAAUGAAAUAAUUUGUCUUAAGUGUUCUAUGCUUGUAUUAACUGUAGAGAGAUGCAAGAGAUCACAUUAGAAAAUACUUUGUACUGCCAUUCUUACUGUAUUUUUUAUACUUCUGGCAGCAUUAAAUAUUUUUUUUAAUUGA